UACGUAGGUGGCGAGCGUUGUCCGGAUUUACUGGGCGUAAAGCGUGCGUAGGCGGUUCGCUAAGUCGGUUGUGAAAUCCCUGGGCUUAACCUGGGAACUGCAGUCGAUACUGGUGGACUAGAGUACGGUAGAGGGUGGCGGAACUCCGGGUGUAGCGGUGAAAUGCGUAGAUAUCCGGAAGAACACCGAUGGCGAAGGCAACCACCUGGGCCUGUACUGACGCUGAGGUGCGAAAGCGUGGGGAGCAAACAGG
rnacentral:rRNA from 1 species